GGUCGUGAGGAGCUACAGUGGAGAGUGACGCGAGCGUAUAAUGGCGGAGGAAAAAGAUCCCAAACUUAUCAUUUUCAUCCGGAGUGGGAGGAAGAUUAUUUUUUCGUUUAUUCAAAUGGCAAAUCCAUCUGCUUUAUCUGCAAUGCAAACGUGGCAUUACCGAAGAAAGGUAAUUUGGAGCGGCAUUUUAAGACGAUCCACAAGAGCUACGAUGCUAGCUUCCCGGCUAAAAGCCGGCUUGGAGCACAACAGGCCGUUUUCCCCGGACAAAUACCACCAGUAAGGCUGCAACCACAGCUUCUUAUCGUGCCAGCCGUGUUCUGGCAAAAAGAAAGAAAUCAUUCAAGGAUGGUGAAAUUGUGAAAGAAGCUUUCAUGGAAGCUGCAGAUGUGAUCUUUGCCGAUUUUAAAAAUCAGAAUGAGAUCGUGUCUGCAGGAUGUGCAGCUCUCAAGAAAGUCUGUUGCACGACGAUGCGAGUUCAUGCGGAGGAUAUUGAUCAGCAACUGAAGAAUGAUACUGAGAUGGUACACAGCAACGACUCGACAGACUGGAGUCAAAGGUGGACGGAAUACUACAACUACUGUGAGGAAUCAGGCUGCUGAAGAAGCUGACUGCAUUGGAGAUAAUGCAGGCCAGACUUAAAACAACGGAGGAGCUGGACCAAUUCAGCAAAACGCUGGAGGACCAGGAGUUUAGGAGGACAGGGGUCAAUUAUUGUUCCUAACACUUUUGCAGAAGAGGUUAUUUUCAUAAAAGUUGCAUAUUGCCAUUGCACACAUACUUCUUUUUACUCUGUCAUAGGUGAAUCUGCUGAAACAGCUAUCUGGAUCAAUGCUGAACUCCUUUGCCAGGACGAUGCUCGGCGGAAUUGGGAUGUGGCGGUUGUGGGCUGGCGUCAGCCUCAAAGGAUGGAAAGGGAAGCAAGCCCUGCAGCCUCUCACUCUCUAGAGUUUUGAAGAAAGCCUUCAGCAACAAGAUGGAAAUUUUACCAGAUGCUAUCGAUGAUGCGUUAACUGAAACACUGCGCCAUGCAGCAAAGAGGGAAAAGGAGGAUGAAAUAAUUGGUACUGGCGUUAAUGCUGACUCAGAUGCUGGGGUGGAUGCCGAUGCCAUGGACCAUUGUGUAGUGAAUGAUGACGCCAUGGACGGCAGUGCCAUGAGUGAUGAUGCCACAGUUAGUCAUGGGUCAGAUGAGAAGUGAUUCAUUUUAUACUGAGAACUUAUGCCUCCCCCUCUGUAAGGUGCAGGGGAGACAUGAAAUAAGUGCCCAAUUUUCCUUGCACAACUUUUUUUCCUGGAUGCCAUGAUCAUCAACUCAACUGGAU